rnacentral:tRNA from 1 species
GGUCCAGUGGUUAGGACUCUGCACUUCCACUGCAGGGGACCUGGGUUCGAUCCCUUG